AGCAGUGUGGCUCAGUGGAAGAGUGUGGGCUUGGGAGCCAGAGGUCAUGGGUUCAAAUCCCUGCUCUGCCA
rnacentral:tRNA from 1 species